rnacentral:rRNA from 1 species
AUUGAACGCUGGCGGCAUGCCUUACACAUGCAAGUCGAACGGCAGCACGGGAGCAAUCCUGGUGGCGAGUGGCGAACGGGUGCGUAAUAUAUCGGAACGAGCCCAGUCGUGGGGGAUAACGCAGCCCAAGCUGUGCCAAUCCCGCAUACGAUCUAAGGAUGAAAGAGGGCGAUCGCAAGACCCCGCGCGACUGGAGCGGCCGAUAUCAGAUUAGCUAGUUGGUGGGGUAAAGGCCCACCAAGGCGACGAUCUGUAGCUGGUCUGAGAGGACGACCAGCCAAACUGGAACUGAGACACGUUCCAGACUCCUACGGGAGGCAGCAGUGGGGAAUUUUGGACAAUGGGCGCAAGCCUGAUCCAGCAAUGCCGCGUGCAGGAUGAAGGCCUUCGGGUUGUAAACUGCUUUUGUACGGAACGAAACGGCCCUUUCUAAUACAGGGGGCUAAUGACGGUACCGUAAGAAUAAGCACCGGCUAACUACGUGCCAGCCGCCGCCGUAAUAC